rnacentral:rRNA from 1 species
CACAAGCAGCGGAGCGUGUGGUUUAAUUCGAUGCUACACGAAGAACCUUACCAAGGUUUGACAUGUAAGUGGUAGUGAUCUGAAAAGUGAACGACCCUUCGGGGAGCUUACACAGGUGCUGCAUGGCUGUCGUCAGCUUGUGUCGUGAGAUGUUCGGUUAAGUCCGCUAACGAGCGCAACCCUCACUGUGUGUUACAAGUGUCACACGGAACUGCCGGUCAUAAACCGGAGGAAGGUGGGGAUGACGUCAAGUCAGCAUGGCCUUUAUAUCCUGGGCUACACACACGCUACAAUGGGAAGGGACAAUAGGUUGCGAAACCGCGAGGUGGAGCCAAUCCAGCAAAACUUCCCUCAGUUCAGAUUGCAGGCUGCAACUCGCCUGCAUGAAGUUGGAGUUGCUAGUAAACGCAGGUCAGCCAUACUGCGUUGAAUACGUUCCCGGGGCUU